AUUAAUCCACCAGCCCAACUUAUUAUUUAUUUAACUAUUUUCACAGGAACUCUUAUCACAAUACUAGGCUCAUACUAAUUUCUCAUCUGGACAGGCCUAGAAAUAAACAUAUUAGCUCUUACUCCAAUCUUAAUUAAAAAAAAAAAUAAAUCCCGGCCCUGGAGAAGCAGCCACCAAAUACUUCCUUACACAAGCAACCACAUCUAUAAUUCGUAUGAUAGGUAUCCUUUCCAAUAACCUGUACUCUGGACAAUGAACAAUAAAUACUAUUAAUCGAUUUUCAUCCUUAAUAAUAGCCCUAGUAAUAAAACUAGAAAGAGUCCUCUUUCAUUUCUGAGUCCCAAAAGUGACCCAAGGAAGCUCUCUAAUGUCUGGCAUACUUCUCCUCACAUGACAAAAACUAGCCCCUAUCUUAAUUAUAUUUCAAAUUUUCCCAUCAAUAAACACACAAAUAUGCUAUCACAAUUUUAUCCAUUAUGGUGGGUGGUUGAGGAGGACUUAAUCAAACACAGCUACACAAAAUCCUAGCCUACUCCUCAAUUAAUCAUAUAGGUUGAAUGAUAGCAGUACUAAUUUAUAACCCAAGCAUUACUAUUCUAAACCUGAUUAUUUGCUUUAACAAUCGCCGCAUUCCUAGCACUCACUCAACCUGAGUAUAAGCACUACAACCCUGUCACUAUUUCAUGCCUGAAACAAACUAACAUGGUUAACACCUAUAAUCCCACUAAUUCUAUUAUCCCUAGGAGAUUUACCUCCACUAACAGGAUUUCUGCCCAAAUGAGCCAUCAUUCAAGAAUUUACAAAAAACAAGUCUUAUUACCCCAACUAUUAUAGCUAUCAUAACCCUACUCUACCUGUACUUUUAUAUACGCCUAAUUUAUUCUAUCUCAGUAACAAUAUUCCCCACAUCUAAUAAUAUGAAAAUAAAAUGACAAUUCGAAAGCACAAAACUCAUACUCCUCCUCCUCUCACUUAUUUCUUCUACCCCUCCUUUUACCCAUCUCUCCAAUAAUACUAAUCAUAACUUAG
rnacentral:lncRNA from 1 species